GACGAACGCUGGCGGCGUGCUUAACACAUGCAAGUCGAACGAAGAGCGAUGGAAGCUUGCCUCUAUCAACCUUAGUGGCGAACGGGUGAGUAACGCGUAAUCAACCUGCCCUUCAGAGGGGGACAACAGUUGGAAACGACUGCUAAUACCGCAUACGAUCUAAUCUCGGCAUCGAGGAAAGAUGAAAGGUGGCCUCUAUUUAUAAGCUAUCACUGAAGGAGGGGAUUGCGUCUGAUUAGCUAGUUGGAGGGGUAACGGCCCACCAAGGCGAUGAUCAGUAGCCGGUCUGAGAGGAUGAACGGCCACAUUGGGACUGAGACACGGCCCAGACUCCUACGGGAGGCAGCAGUGGGGAAUCUUCCGCAAUGGACGAAAGUCUGACGGAGCAACGCCGCGUGAGUGAUGACGGCCUUCGGGUUGUAAAGCUCUGUUAAUCGGGACGAAAGGCCUUCUUGCGAACAGUUAGAAGGAUUGACGGUACCGGAAUAGAAAGCCACGGCUAACUACGUG
rnacentral:rRNA from 1 species